GACCAGACUCCUACGGGAGGCAGCAGUGGGGAAUAUUGCACAAUGGGGGAAACCCUGAUGCAGCGACGCCGCGUGAGCGAUGAAGUAUUUCGGUAUGUAAAGCUCUAUCAGCAGGGAAGAAGAUGACGGUACCUGACUAAGAAGCCCCGGCUAACUACGUGCCAGCAGCCGCGGUAAUACGUAGGGGGCAAGCGUUAUCCGGAUUUACUGGGUGUAAAGGGAGCGUAGACGGCGAUGCAAGCCAGAUGUGGAAGCCCGGGGCUCAACCCCGGGACUGCAUUUGGAACUGUGUGGCUGGAGUGUCGGAGAGGCAGGCGGAAUUCCUAGUGUAGCGGUGAAAUGCGUAGAUAUUAGGAGGAACACCAGUGGCGAAGGCGGCCUGCUGGACGAUGACUGACGUUGAGGCUCGAAAGCGUGGGGAGCAAACAGGAUUAGAUACCCUGGUAAAU
rnacentral:rRNA from 1 species